rnacentral:rRNA from 1 species
UACGGAGGGGGCUAGCGUUGUUCGGAAUUACUGGGCGUAAAGCGCACGUAGGCGGCUUGUAAGUUAGAGGUGAAAGCCCGGAGCUCAACUCCGGAACUGCCAUUGAACUGUUGGCUUGAGUGACGAGAGAGGUGAGUGGAAUUCCCAGUGUAGAGGUGAAAUUCGUAGAUAUUGGGAAGAACACCGGUGGCGAAGGCGGCUCACUGGCUCGUAACUGACGCUCGGCGCG